CUCUCCUCUGCUCGUGCUCUCUCUCUCUCUCUCAAAAAUAAAUAAGCAUUAAAAAAAACAAAACCUUUUAAUCCUUACAAUUUGAUGAGGUCAGUUAUAAUGUGAUCCCCAUUACAUGGGUGAGACAAUGGAGGCAUAAGAGCCACGCAGCUAGUAAGGAGAGCUGAGCAGUCUCACAUGAGACACAACAACCCUACGUAUGAUCUAACUGGUGAGAUUUAACUGGAAAGACGACUAAGCAAAACUUGGAUUUAACCAGUUUGCUGAGUGGUUUGAAACUCAGCACAGCAGACAGUGAUAGCAUUGUCAGCUGAUGCCUGCUCGGCGCAGCGACCUCUUCCCACACUCGGGAAGGGCCAGGUAGGACUCACAGGCCACAGAGCAGCGCGAACGUGUCCACUGAAAGCAGCCACACCGGGGACGCAGUCCGUCACCGCCGCCCUAUUGAGGACAGUCCUGUCUUGAAGCCAAAGCCUUGCUGGACUCGGGCAAGGGACACAUCUCUCUGAAGGCACGGAGGAAGGGGCACAGAGGAAUCUGAGGAGAUGACGUGAUGGAGAACGACGUUUGGGGAACACGAGUGCACAUACAAGUCAAGUGUGCAGGACAGUCUCGAUAUCCGGACGUUCUCGAGGGAACAGGAGUCUGUCAGUUUACAGAGAUGAUGUCAAUUUUCUCAAAUGCUUCCAAAUGUCCAGAAAGCUAUGAACAUGAGAAUGUAAAGUAGAUGGAGGUCCAAUUGCAGUAAAUCAUAGAAUAUCCACACUAUGGAAUAUUAUGCAGCUAUUAGAAGAAAUGAGUUAGCUCUUUAUCUGCUGACCUGGAGGGACGUCUGGGAUGUAUUGGUCAGGGAGAUAAGCAAGAGGCAGUGCAGGGUACAUGCGGGGGAGGGUUCUCGUAAAGGCAAACAGAAAACCUUCCCUACGUUUGCAGCAGAUGUCCCUUUAAGGACAGAAGAGCUCAGAGAAACUCCUGGUGGACUGUUAGCCAUGGUCAGUGGGCUACGGGGACAGCUUGAGGACUGCAGGAAGAAAGGGCGAUGGCAUGAACUUUUUUUUCUUGCUAUUCAUUAGCAUGGUGUCACAGAUUAUGCGAAUGUGCUGACUUACUUGUGGGAGGAUACUUUGCCCUCUGCAAAGCCACCUUUAUGGAAGAAUCUAUUACUGAAGAGCUGAACGUGCAGGCAUGGGGGAGUCUGGCAGGUGAGAAGGCAGGUGGCCGAGGGAGACUGGUGGGGAGAUGGGGAGACACCAUGAUGUGAUAGGGUGCAUGGAUGCCUUCCACCUCGCCUAAACACUACCGGGUCUGGCCAGAGAUGGAGCCUGACUGGUGUCAACAGAGGUCUUCAGAGAAAGGCCACGUGCAGAUCAUCGUCCCUCCCCAGGGGAACUUCCAGCGAGAUGAAUGAGAGGCCAGAUAAAUCAUGAAGAUCUACAGGUACACAUACAGGGAGAAACUCGUGAACACAGUCGGGAGGUCCGUGACGGAGAGGUAACGGCAGCCGAUAAUUAAAUAGCUGCGUUCCUGGAGACCAGGUGGGCUUGACAGAGACAAAGGAGACAGUGGGAAGGGCACGGGCCCCUUCUGACAGGAGAACAGCAGCACGGACACCAGCCCUGCCGAGAGAGGUCCACGGCAGCCGCAGCAGCAGCAUCCACACUCUGCUUUCUCCCCACCUCCACCGGGACCGCCGGCUUCUCUGCUGUUCCCACGACACGGAGGCCGUGGCCAGCUUUCCAGGGCUUAUGGGAGAUGAGCCACGUUAUUACGAUCUGAGUCUUGCUGUUGCUUCCGAGGCAAAAACGGAUGCGGGACAUAAACACCAGGGCGGGCACAGAGCCUGCCACAAGAGACAAGACACCCUGAUGUCGGGGCAGAGUUGGCCAACCCUGGUCCUGGGAGCACUUCGCUGUGUCCCAGUUCCAGGGCUGGGUCGUCUUGUUUUGUCCGAACAGGUGAGAGCUCAGAGGGCCCCCCACGCCUUAUUAGGCGAGGUGAGGCUCUGGGACAAGUGGCGGAGGCAGCUCAGCUUCCUGGGCACCUGGGAGUGCCAUCAGCAGCCGACA